rnacentral:rRNA from 1 species
CCUGAACGCUGGCGGCGUGGCUAAGACAUGCAAGUCGCACGGGCCUAGCAAUAGGUCAGUGGCGAACGGGUGAGUAAUGAAUCGCUAACGUGCCCCGGACUCUGGGAUAGCCAACCGAAAGGUUGGGUAAUACCAGAUGACAUAACCCUUCCGCAUGGUGGGGUUCUCAAAGGUCCGCCGGUCUGGGAGCGGGCGAUUUCGUAUCAGCUAGUUGGUGCGGGUAACGGCCCACCAAGGCGACGACGCGUAGCCGGACUGAGAGGUUGGCCGGCCACAUUGGGACUGAGACACUGCCCCAGACUCCGUACGGGGGGCUNCAGUAAACGAAUCUUCCGCAAUGCACGCAAGUGUGACGGAGCGACGCCGCGUGUGGGACGAA